UACGUAGGGCGCGAGCGUUGUCCGGAUUUAUUGGGCGUAAAGAGCUCGUAGGCGGUUUGUCGCGUCGUCCGUGAAAACUCACAGCUUAACUGUGAGCUUGCGGUCGAUACGGGCAGGCUAGAGUUCGGUAGGGGAGACUGGAAUUCCUGGUGUAGCGGUGAAAUGCGCAGAUAUCAGGAGGAACACCAAUAGCGAAGGCAGCUCGCUGGGACGUUACUGACACUGAGGCGCGAAAGCGUGGGGAGCGAACAGG
rnacentral:rRNA from 1 species